CCUACGGGAGGCAGCAGUGGGGAAUAUUGGACAAUGGGGGCAACCCUGAUCCAGCCAUGCCGUGUGUGUGAAGAAGGCCCUCGGGUUGUAAAGCACUUUCAGUGAGGAAGAACGCCUGGUGGUUAAUACCCAUCAGGAAAGACAUCACUCACAGAAGAAGCACCGGCUAACUCCGUGCCAGCAGCCGCGGUAAUACGGAGGGUGCGAGCGUUAAUCGGAAUUACUGGGCGUAAAGCGCGCGUAGGUGGCUUGAUAAGCCGGUUGUGAAAGCCCCGGGCUCAACCUGGGAACGGCAUCCGGAACUGUCAAGCUAGAGUGCAGGAGAGGAAGGUAGAAUUCCCGGUGUAGCGGUGAAAUGCGUAGAGAUCGGGAGGAAUACCAGUGGCGAAGGCGGCCUUCUGGACUGACACUGACACUGAGGUGCGAAAGCGUGGGUAGCAAACAGGAUUAGAUACCCGAGUAGUC
rnacentral:rRNA from 1 species